GUUCUGUACAAUAAGAGAUGAGGUGUAAAGGUGCCGUGUGUUCAACAGGGUUAUAGCCUAAUUAUUAUUGAGUGAGUGCUCAGAGAAGGUGAAAAGCCUGUGUGGUUGUAUCAUCCUGUUGAACCGUGACACUAAAGAGUCGAGUUGUUUGAGAGUACAACUUAAAGCUGGUGGUAAAUUUCAUCAAAGGCUAAAUAUAUGAGGGGACUAAUAGCGAACAAGUACCAUGAGGGAAAGUUGAAAAGAACUCUGACGAGAGAGUUCAACAGUACGUGAAACCAUAUUGAGUAAAACAGAUAACUGUGUUGUUAUGUGGUGUGCCUAUCAACAGUCAAUUUGGUGGUGUGAUGUCAUGWGUGAAAGCUGUCUAUUCAGCUGCUUGCUUAUGAUUAGCAYAGCCAGAGGUUCUGUGCACUAGUGCACACUCGAUCAUUGAGAAACUAUGCUGCUGCAGCAUCGGCAAGCAACAGMCUGUACCUAGUGCACAGUUGCAUGUUGGGCGUAGCUAGCUGGCGUAGUUUAGCUGUGUGACAGCUGUGGGUUGCGUUUACUGAAGGUGGCUGCUGUAUCUGCGAAAUGGUUUAUUCCUCUUUGCGGUGAGUAUGUCGCUGUAGGUAAGCGAUCCGCCAUCAAUGGUUAACAUUAGUUAUUUGACCCGUCUUGAAACACGGACCAAGGAGUUCAAAUGGCACGCGAGUCAUUGGGUUUUGACACCCGAAGGCGAAGUGAAAUGCAAACGUAUUGUUAUUUGUGGUUGUUCCAUGAUGAAGCGAUAAGCUACUCAUGCUU
rnacentral:rRNA from 1 species